UGUUGGUCUGAAAUCAGGUGGGAUUACCCGCUGAACUUAAGCAUAUCAAUAAGCGGAGGA
rnacentral:rRNA from 1 species